AUACCUUUCUCGGCCUUUUGGCUAAGAUCAAGUGUAGUAUCUGUUCUUAUCAGUUUAAUAUCUGAUAUGUGGGCCAUGCGCCCACCUCGAUAUUAAAUUAAUUUUUUGUGGGGGAGGGCCCAUCCACGGUAGCUUGCUACCGGGGCCUUCGCGCGUCGCCCUUGCGUUGCACUACUGUUUGGGCCUGGCGCACCCCUACCAAUUCUUAACAGCAAAAUGUUUUUAAUUUAUUACUUGCUUGCUGGGCUUGCGUACAAAGGAAGAAUGGUGAAAAUUAUUCUUCAAUUUUUUUUUUUUGUAUAAAUCUGGAAAGGCCCAUUUUUGGAAUCUGAAUAGAAAAAUUAUUUAUACACAAGAUCAAAACUAUAGCGAUAAUUCAUUUUCCUCUUAACUUCCUCUCGAUAAUGUGUGAAACAGUUGGCAAUGACAUAAUAAAAUAGUAAGAAAUAAAAAUACAGUCAGAGGCUACAAUAUUCAGAGAAUCGGAUUUAUAUGCAAACCUCCUAUGGUUGUCAAGUUACGGGCUAAGAGGUAUAGGUAGGAACGCAAAUGGGGCGGGUCCGGAGGCUGGAGUCCCCUCUCGCGUCUCUCAUGUCCCUUCCCAAGUAUCUCCCACCCCGAAUAUGUGAUGGGUUAAGAAAUAUAUCCCAUAAUUCGUUCCGCCUCAUAAUCCAUUUUCUAUCGGCGCUCCGAAUCUUCUCUGCCAAUUAAUAUUUUUUUAAAAAAAUUAUAAUAUUAUUAAUAUUUUAUAAAAUAUAAAUUAAUAUUUUUUUAAUAAUAAUUAUAAUAUUACUAAGUUAUGUAUAUAAUAUUAAUAAUAUCAAUUAUAAAAAGCAAAAUUCAAGUUUUAGACACAUGAGAAAUGAGAGCACCAACUUAUUUGUAUUUUGGACUUUUUUUGUAAAUAUAUUAUUUUUUAGGAAUAUUUUUAAAAUAUAAAUAAUUUUUGGAGUGGAUUCCGAGUGAAUCAUGGCACUGCAGAUUCGGGCCGGGGCAAAUUUUUUUUCGUUUCCUACCCCAAAUCUGUUUCGGACCAUAAAAAUUACUCCGUUUUCUGUCCCGAAUCCGUUUAUUUAUUUCUGUUUAUUGCCCCAUUCGGGAAGGAUCGGGACGGACGCUCUACCAACCAGGAUCUGUUUGCAUUGCCAAUAGAGCGGAGAGCUGGUAGUCACACUUAGGAAAACCAUAAUGCAACCAGACAACCUUAAAUGAACCCAGGACACUGUUGGUUCAAUACGGUAAUAUAAUAUUGGAUUAUAGUAUAUGUAGGAUUACUAGAGUUGGUUCGUUUUAAAAUUCGGUAAUCAAGACAAUAAAGUGUAUUUUAUUCCAAAAUUAUCAUUUAUGAUCAUAUUUAAUAUUAUUUUUUAAUAAACUUAAAUUAAUAUAAUUUGUACUUGAUUAAUUUUAUUAAUAAGCAAAUAUAAGUAGAGGUGGAACUGGGCCCGGGCCUAAACAAGGCCCGGCCCGAUGGGCCAUGUUUGGGCCGGACUUUGGGUAUUAAAAAUAUAACUUGUGGUUCGGGCCGGGUUUAAAAAUUUUGGCCCGAAAAAAUUUAGGCCUAUUUGGGCAUGUCCAAGCCCGGCCCGAGCCCGACCCAAAAGCCCAAUAUAUUAAUUAUCCAAAUAAAAUAUUUAAUUAUAUANGUUCGGGCCGGUCUUACAAAUUUUGGCCCGAAAAAAUUUUGGGCUUAUUUGGGCAUGUCCAAGCCCGGCCCGAGCCAGACCCAUAAGCCCGAUAUAUUAAUUAUCAAAAUAAAAUAUUUAUAUAUAUAUAUAUAUUAUUUAUCUAUUAAAAGAAAUAAAUGGUAUAGUAUAUCAUAUAUAGUAUAUAUUGUUAUUAAUGAUAUGUACUUAUAUAUAUGAGGAUAUAUUAUAUAUCAACAAAAUAUUUAGUUUUAUAUUAGGAUAUAUUUGUUAUUAGAUAUUAAUUUCUUUGAUGUGAUAAAACUAAAAAUAGGUAUUUUAUUUUAAUUUUAUACAAAUAAAAGUAUUUAUGUAUUAUAUGAUACAUGCAUAAAAUGGGCCUCCACAAAGCCCGCUGGGUAUUGGGCAUUGGGCUUGGGCUUAGGCCGGGCCAUCAUUUUCAAAAAAAUUAGGUAAACGCCCGACCCAAAGCCCAACAUUUUUAUUUGGGCCGGGUUUGGGCAUAGUAUUACCCUACCCAAAUCCGGCCCUGUUCCACCCCUAAAUAUAAGACAUAAAUAAAAAAACCGCACAUGAAAACAAUUUAUAAAGCCAAAUUGGUUUUAACCCAUAGAAGAAUAAAUUAAAAAAUAUCAUAUUACAUAAUAAUAUGAUCAUACAAGAACAAGUACAUUUUAGUUUAAAAAACUAAAAUUUUAUUUAUAAGCAAUAUCAUUAACCAAAUAUCUUAAGAAAAUCUCGCUCCAGCCCAGCUCAUUAAAAGACCCAUUUUUCUUAAAAGAUCCACCCCAUGUACAAAAGCCCACCAUUUCAAUCUGAUUCCUUUUAUUGUUUCUUGUCUCGGGUAGUGCCGAAUUCCCAUUUUUAUCAACUUUUUGACCCCAAUUCCUCAAACUAGGAUGAGGGCCUUCUUUAUAUAUAUAUANAGAUAUCCAAAUCAAUUGAAUUUUUAUUAGAAAAUUCUUUAAACUAUUGAAAACAAGAUCUAUACUCUUGAUCUUGAUUACAAGACUCCUAUCAUCAUUUUUUAAAAAAUAUUCAUUUUUAGCCGUUCAUUUUUAUGUCCACUCAAUGGAUAAGAGAACAAUAUCGAAAAUAUAUGAAAUUUGAUUUCUAAAUACUUCAAAUGGUAUAGAUCAUGUUCAACGAUGCCGAUCGUCGAUUUGGAGGCUCCAUUAUCGAAAAUAAAUGGGUGGCAAAAGUGCCAGUUUGCUAUCGAUAGUAUUCUAGCUCAACUCUAUAUAUAUAUAUAUAUAUAUUGAGAGAUUAGGUAGCACGCUACCCGCUUCGUUUAUUUUAUUUAGAAAUAAACUUAGCUAGAAAUAUGAAUCAACUAGGAUUUGAACUUGGAACCUCCAGUACCAACCACCAAGCUCUUUGCCACUUGCUCUAGGGACGGUCAGUAUGAGGGCCUUCUUUAUAGAUCUUUGGAUUUGGCGAUUUGGGCAAAAUUUGUUGUUUUUGUGUUCUCUUGGGUAUUUUUACAAACACCUAAUGUGCAAGGAUCUGCUGUUUUGAUGGAAUUUAAUAAUUUAGGGGUGUAAUGUGAGUCGUGCUGUGCCCCGUGCGGAUUCAGCCUAGGGUUGGCUCGGUUACAAAUCCUGGCCAACCCGUGCCAGCCCGCUUUCUCAGAGAAGAAGGCCUAGCCCGGCCGCUUGGACUGCCCGGCACGUGCUAUGCCGGGCCAAGCCGGGCUUCGUGCUAGCCCAGUAAAAAGUUUUUUUUUUAAUUUCUUCCCAACCGUCUUUUGUUAAAUUUUUUUUUAAUUUUUUUUUAGUAAAAAGAGAUAACUAAUUUUUAAAUUAUACCUUCUCGAUUUUUUUUUAUUUACACAAUUAUACCCAAAUUUUUUUUAAACUCUUGUAAUAAUUUUAUAAAUUUUAAAAAAAGCUAAAAUACUAACCAUAAAUUUAACAUUUUUAAUAUCAUUAAUUUUUAAUAUUAUAUAAAAUUUAAAACAUAGAGAUCAAUAAUUUUAACUUUUCAAAUAUAUUAGAUGUUUUAAUAUAAAUUUUUUAAAUUAGGUUUCGUUUAGGAUUGUGGGAAAAUUGUACUACAUGCGGUGAGAAAGUACGAUGAAAAAAUAUUCUAUUUGUUUCCGUGCGUAAUAUUGCAUUCUGCAUAUGGCAAUGAGUCGGUUAUGAUAUAUUUUUUGCGGCCCCACUAGAGAACGCAGAAGCAUAUUCUUAAAUGCUUUAUCCCGACUCAAUUUUAUCUAAUAAUAUUAUAUGGACUUUAAUACAAAACUAAGCCUUACAUUUCUGUGAUCCAAUAACCAACUUUAAUAUAAAAUUUUUAAUAUAAGAUUAAAUAUUUUGUUGAGAUUGAAACUUUUGUUAAAAAAAAAGUUGUUGAAAAGAUUAAAAAAAUUUGCAAAGCUAACUUGAGGAAAAAAAAUUUUAGAUUGAAAGUUUGAGAGUAGGAAGAAUUAGUGUUUGGGGAAGAAAUGAACGAAGAGUUGUUUGUUGAAAUGAAUUUGAAAAUUUGUAAAAGCAUUUAUAGAUGUAAAAAAAUUUUAAAUUUUUUUUAAAAAAUAGAAAAUAUUUUUGACCAAAAUGUCCUAUCUAACGGUCAAAAUUUUGAAUGCUAGUAAAGGCAUUAUGGUCAUUUUCAGCAAAAAGAUGUCUUUUUUAAUAUUUUUAUCUUUUUUUCAAAAAAAAAUAAUUUUCAUAUAUAUAUAUAUAUAGGCAGGACUGCUGUGCUCUCAGGAGCCGUUUUCGAUGAUGGAAUGUCCAAAUCGACGAUCAGCUCUGUUAGACUUGAUCUAACGUAUUUGAAGAUUCUAGAAAAUAAUUUUUUGCGAUUUUUCGAUAUCAUUUACUUAGCAAUCGAAAGGAUUCAAAAUCAAUAAUUUUUAACGGCUGAAAAUAAAAAUCCUAUAAAACGUGGUGAUAUAGCACUAAAAUUUUCGAUCAGAAAUAUUGAUCUUGUUAUAGAUAGUAUAAAGAAUUUUGUAUCAAAAUUUCAUCUGAUUUGAAUACUUUUACACCGUUAAACUUGAAAACGGUAGAUAUCAACCAUUAAAAAUUAUUGAUUUUGAAUCCUUUCGAUCACUAGGUAAAUGAUAUCAAAAAAUCGCAAAAAUUAUUUUCUAGAAUCUUCAAAUACGCUAGAUCAAGUCUAACGGAGCCGAUCGUCGAUUUGGAAAUUCCAUCAUCGAAAACGGCUCAGGAGCACAGCAGCCCUGCUAUAUAUAUAUAUAUAUAUAUAUAUAUAUAUAUAUAUAUAUAUAUAUAGAGAGAGAGAGAGAGAGAGAGAGAGAGAGAGAGAGAGGGAGAGAGAGAGUUGAGCCGGAAUGUUACCAAUAGCAAACUGGUUUUAUUGCCAUCCAUUUGUUUUCCAUAAUAGAGCCUCUAAAUCGAUGAUCGGCACCGUUGAACAUAAUCUAUACCACUUGAAGUAUUUAGAAAUUAAAUUUCAUAUUUUUCUGAUAUUAUUUUUUGUCCAUCAAGUGAACACAAAAAUGAAUGGCUGAAAUAAAUAUCUUUUAAAAAGUGAUGAUAGGAGUCUUCUAAUCAAGAUCAAGAAUAUAAAUCUUGUUCUAAAUAGUUUAAACAAUUUUCUAACCAAAAUUCAAUUAAUUUGGAUAUCUUUAUACCGUUAAAUGAGAAAACAUCUUAGAUCGACAACUAAAAUUAUAAAUUUUGAGACCUUUUAAUAAUCUGACCAAUAAUGUCGAAAAAAUUAGAAAUUUGGUUUCUAGAUUUUUUAAGUGGUAUAGACCAUAUUCAAUGGUACCGGUCGUCAAUUUGAAGGCUUCAUCAUCAAAAUAAAUAGAUAGCAACGGAACUCAUUUGUUACUAAUAGCAUUCAAGCUCAACUCUCUAUCUCUUUCUCUAUAUAUAUAUACUAGUUGUAAUGCACGUGCGAUGCACGUCAUAUUUAAUUAAAUUAAGUUUAUAUUUAUAUUUUAAAUUUAAAUAAUUAUUGGUGGUAUAUAUCUAUUUAUCAAUUAAAUUUUUUUUAACUUUAAUUUUUUUAAUGUGUAUCCAAAUUUAUAUAUAUGAAAAUUGGAUUUUUGAAAAUCUGAUUACUGUUAUUCAAAUUACUGUUAUUCAGUAAAAAUCAGUAUAUGAAAAUCGGAUUUUUUUUUUUUUUUCGAUGGUCAGGAUUGAAAACCGUAAUUCAGUAAGUAUCAUUGUUUUGAAACCAGGUUUUCUUUUUUUCUUUUUAAUAGAAGUGGAGAUUUAAAAAAGAAGGUACAAUGAAGUAGAUAUGGUUAAUAGGAGGGUGGUCCACUUUGACCUGGUGCACCAGGUCAAAGUAUGAAUUCAAGCCAGGUAUUUUAGUCCCAUAUCGACUGCAGCGAAGAACGGAAGAGGCAAGGAGAGUACAAGAGGAGGCCUCGGUGCGUGAUUUAAACUCAUACCUUUCUCGGCCUUUUGGCUAAGAUCAAGUGUAGUAUCUGUUCUUAUCAGUUUAAUAUCUGAUACGUGAGCCAUGUGCUCACCUCGAUAUUAAAUUAAUUUUUUGUGUGGGAGGGCCCAUCCACGGUAGCUUGCUACCGGGGCCCUCGCGCGUCGCCCUUGCGUUGCACUACUGCUCGGGCCUGGCGCACCCCUACCAAGUCUAAACGCUCAAAUAUUUUUAGUUCAUUCACUAAGCUUAAACAUUAUUUUUCAAAUAGUUUUUUUUGUAUAAAAAACAUAAUUUCUGUAGUUUUUUGUCUUUGCCUUUUUAUUAAUCUGAAUAGAACAACUACUUAGUUUUUCGUGAAUUUUUUUAAAACCAAACACUCUCUGAAAGCUUUUUUGAGUUUUGAGAUCUUUGCUAAGGAAUUGUUUGAUUUCUAAAAAAAUAUAUAAAAAAAAUUUAUUUAAAAAUAAUAUUUUUUUUAGAUUUCACUGUUCGGUUUCAAGAAAAACUUUCUUUUUUGAAAAUUUUUUAUAUUUCAUGUAAAAUUAGUAUUUUUAUUUUUCAAAAGAAAAUCAGAAAAUCAAAAAAAUUAUUUUCAUAAAGUUUAAUUUCUUACCACCAAGCGAGCAAAAAAUAAAACAAAUUUUUUUUUUCAAAAUUUUUCUUUAAUAUUUACACCGGCCCAUUUAAAUCUAGCCAUUCAUUUUUUAAGGUUAUGAUUGACUUUACAUAGUAAUAACCUGCUUAAUUGGUUACCAAUCAAAGAUCAAUCGUAAGAAUAAUGUUAGAAAAUACAUACUAAUCAAUUAUCAAGUUUGAUAAAAUCUAACCAAUCUUUCUUUCCUUAUUUAAUAUUGUUACUUAAUUACCAAAUUAAAUAGUGGCUAAUUUGAUAAGUAAUGCAUGUUCAUAAAUUUGAAUUCAAAAUUAACUUAGGUUUUAACUUUAUUUUUAUAAUUGUAUAAAUUAAUUCAAAUUUAAAUUUUAAAUUUAAUUUUUAGAAAGAAAAAAUUUAUAUUUAAAUGUGUAAAAAAUUUCAAUUCAAAUUGUUAAUUCAAUAUUAAAAUAACAUGAAAGUUCAAAAAUAUUAAUCUAUUUUAAAUUAUAAUUAAAGUGAUAUUGUACUUAUAAACCCAACUUUUAUUAUUUAUUUAAAUAAAAGGUUUCUAUUUUUUAAAUUAAAUUCAAACUGUUAAUUCAAUAUUAAAAGCAACAUUAAAAUUCAAAAAUAUUGAUCAAAUUUAAAUUUUAAAUUUAGAUUUAAUUUAAUUAUAGUUAAAAAAUAAAUUUUAUUAAUCCAUAAUGCAACGGUGUAACAUUUAUACAUGGAGAAGGAAGGGGAUGGAUUCCUUGCCCAUUCCUCCCUGAAACCUUUGCCGCCAUACGAUGUCGCCAAUGCCCUAAAAUCGACACCGUAGCACCACAAUAUUGAGAGAAGAAAGAUGAUUAAUUAUUUAAAAAAUUAUUACGUAUAGAUUUGCUGUUACUUAAAAACUGCAAACAGAUUUAAAUAUGAGUUUGGAGGAACAUAAAAUGUUCUAGAGGGAGAAUUUACAAAAACCCCCUUGCUAACUUAACAUAAUGAAAAAGAGCCCUUACUAUCGAUACCCAAUGAUCGGUACCGAUGGAAACAAUAGCCGGUCACCCCAUUUCAAAAAACUCAUCACAACAGUCCAUCUUGAAUAAUUUAAUGGUGCGUUUGAUUCGUGCUAUCUUUUAAAGAUUCCUAAUAAUCCAAUAGGAAUAAAAAAAAUAUGACGGUGUUUGGCUAAACGCACUAAGUAAUCUAGUUGGUAAUAUUGGAUUUAUUUGGGAAUAAGAUUCAUCCCAAAAUACUAAUCUCAUUCCCUUGAGUGAGGGUGGGUAUCCUCAUAUUAAUGAAUUGGGGUAAUCAUAAUAUGUUUAAUCUCUUUCUUUCUUCCUACCCGCCGGCUAAUUGGUAUUAUUUUUCUUUACAUUCUAACCUUAUAUCUCUCUCUAAACUCAUUUUUCUCUCUAAAAUUCAACUCUUUUUCUCUCUCUAAACUAAGCUUUCUCUUUCCCUCUUUUUCUAAAAUUUCAACUCUCUCACUCCCUCUAAUUUCGACUUUAUUUCUCUUUCUUUUUUUUUUAAUUAUGCUCUCUUUUUCUAAUCUAUGCUCUCUCUUCCUUUUUUCUAAGAAGAUGUUGAAUUUUUGGUAGCAUUAUCUAAAAUUAAUUAAAAAAAUAAAUAAAUUAAUUGUAUAUUUUUUGUAAUCUUAAAUAAUAUGGCUAAAUAAUAUGACUGUGCGAACCAAACACAGGAAUUCCACAUUUUUAGUAAUAUGAUGAACAGGAAUAAAAUUCUCGGAUAUCUUUUCAUUCCGAAUAAUCUUUCAUAAUGCGAACCAACCGCACCGGUUAAGAUUACUUGGUGUAUAGAAGAACUAUUGCUGUUUUAUGAAAACCAAACAAAUAGUGUUUGGGCAAAAUAUAAAAAAAAAAUUAUCUUAUAUUUUUUAAUGAGACCGUAGUAAUUGGUUAUAUAUACAAAAAGCUAACAUAAUUUUUUUCUAAUUGGACGAACAUAAUUUUUUUUUUCAUCAGUCUAAUUUUAUUUGCUACAAGGAAAGCAUUAAAUCUGAUCAAAUUUAUUAUAAUUUUUAUUAUAGUGAUUGAAAUUUGGAACCUUGCCUACGACCAACCAAUCAUUUGCCAAAUGCUUUAGGGAUAGUCAAUAUAUUUUAUGAUUUAUUGUGUUUUCUAUAUUGUGAAUACAUUGGAUGAUUUACAUUUGAGUUGACUAUAACUAUUGAAGAAAAUAAUUUGAAACAAGAAAAAAAAACUUAUUUAUGUAAUUUUAUUUUAUUAUUUUUUAAAAAAAUUUAUGUAAUUUCACUACAUAAAGAAAGCGAUAAAAUUUGCAAAAUACAGUUUUCAACUGCACAUAACAUAACUAUAUAUAACUAAACAUAUCAUUUGUAGUUGUAAUAUUUUUUGCUACAUCAAACUAAAUAAAAUAUAUAGCUGGUAUAUUUUAAACUUGUAUGCAACUCAAACUGCACUAUUUGUAGUUGCUUGAAACUAGGGGUGUAACGGCCGACAAGGCCCACAUUUUCUGGGCCGAAACGGCCUAGUGGCCGGCCCGGCCCGGCCCGUCUUCAAUUUCGGGCUAUGCUGGGCCGGGCCCGAGCUGCCUAGCCUCUGGCUCGACACGGCCCAUAUGCCCGAAAGGCACGGGCCGGGCUGUGCUUUGGGCCGGCCUUUUAAAAUAUUUAUUUUUAAAUUUUUUUAAAAAAAUUAUAGUUUAAAUUUAAUUAAAUCAAAAAUUUAUAAAAAUAAUUAUAAUAUAGUAAAUAUUAGUUUUUAAAAAUUAAAUAAAAUUUGUUUAUUUUUUUUGAAAAAAAAAAGAAAUUUCAACGUAGAGCACCGGGUUUCUGGGGAGGUGGGGGUUUCCGAGGAUGAGAGAGUCUCGGAGGGGGGGCUGGAGGAAGAUAGAGGGGGCGCUGGGGGGAGGGGGGGGGGCGAGGACGUCAAGGAGGUGGAGGGGGACGGCCGGACGGGGUAAGGGCCUUGGAGUUGGGGACCGGAGCUGAGACCUUAGGUGCUGAAGAGGGGGCCAAGGGGGGCGGCGUGGGGGCGAUGGGAGGCGGCGCGGGGUCUUGUGGGCCGGUCCCGGGGCCGCGGGCGGGGGCGCCGCAGGAGGCGCCAUUGGCGCCUCUCCUCUCAAGGUCUAACCUUGGGAGGAGCAUGAGGGCAAGGCCCCAAGGCCCAAGGCGCCUUGGGCCUUGGGAGUUCCAGGCCGUGCUGGCUCGAUUGGCACGGCCCAAGCGGGCCGUGCCAUGCUGGGCCGUCCGCCUCUCCUCCGUCGGGCCACAGAGGAGCAGCCCAGCACGGCCCAGAGGCUCAAGCCAGGCCGGCCCGGCAUGGGUGCUACAAUACCCGUGCCGUGCUGUAGUCCAGCCCGAGACCGCGCCGGGCCGAGCGGCGCUACUUGAAACUAUUUAGCUUUAUGCAAAUGCUAUUGGGUAGUUCUGCAUAAAAUAGGCCCAAUAAGUUUGUUUUGGAUGACUAUGUUUGUCAUUUUGUAAAAAUAAAUUCCGAAUUUUAGGAUGGUAUCCUCAUUUUAUUAUGGUAGUGUAUGAUUUAAUUAUCUUUCACUUCUCUCUGCUGGUGAAAUGAUGAGUAAGAUGCGAUAAUAUAGGAGGAGCUAAAAUGCUUCUUAUCUCCCUCAAAUUUUAUUCUGAAAUUGUAAUUCUUCUUUUAUAUCUUUUAUUAGUUUUUCCUUAAUGAAGGAAAUCAAAUUUAUAGUUUUUUAUUCAACAUGCAUGCUUCAUUUUUGUCUAUACUAUUAUAUUGGAAAGGUAAUGCAAUUAAUGAAACUAAUUUGAUAUUAAAUAGAUUUAUUAAAUCUGAUCAUUAUUCCCUGUUGAAUCUGAUCAGGUUUAAUAAACAUGCUUUGUUUCUUCUAAAAUUGGAUCUAUUAAUAUCCCUUUCGUACUCAAAAUUAUCAGUAAGUUGAAAACACAAUUAAUUUUUAAUCAACAUUAAAGUAUGGAGCAUGACUUUUUCAACUUGAAUUGUGAUUUAAAGAUUAGCACCAGCAGGGAAAAUUUUUUUGAAAAAAGGUUUAGUGUUAAUGUUGGAUAUCAUAUGCCAUAUUUGAAGCAAGGGACACUGCCCAUAAUUGUGAAAAAGCAUGAUCCAAUUGUAUUAAGGGCGUUUGAUUUUUUUUUUAUUUUUUUUAUUUUUUUGAGAAAUAGGUAGCAAGCUACUUGCUUCAUUCAUUAAGUAAAAUGAAUUAGUCAUACAUGAUGGAAGCAACUAGGGCCUCCUAACCGCGCCAACAAAACAGAAAAACAGAAAAAAAAAGAAGAAAAAAAGGCAAAAAGCAGGUCCGUAAAACGAGAAAUGUAAAACCGAACAAACUGAGGAAAACCGAGGAAAACAUGGGUAAAAGAGCGAAGUGAUUGAGACUAGAGUUAUAGCGCGGAUUCAAAUAACGUCGGCCUAGUCCUUGAUCAAAGCCGCGACUUGUUCGAGAGCCCGGGAGGUGUUGGGAGACCCAUCGUGGAAGAUGAUCUUAUUUCGCUCCGUCCAAAUGACCCACCAGAUUGCCGCCAGCUGGGUCAGACUAUUCGAUCUCAUUCUGGUGUUAUGGUUGUCGGAGAUCUAUGUCCAUAACCGCCGAACAUCCCCCGUGUCCAAAUCGGCCGCCACAGAAACUCCAGCGUGGAUUCGGAGAUAUCUGAUGAAGAUACAUGCACCGAAUAGGUGGUCGCAGGUUUCAGGUAGUGACCCACACAACAUGCAAUGCUGGUCCACCGGACUCCCUCGGCGAAUCAAUCUGUCCGCUGUUAGUAAUCUCUUGCGCAAUAGGAUCCAAAUGAAAAACUUUUGCUUAAGCGGGAUUUUUAACCUCCAAAGAUGAGCGUACAAAGGAUCAAUCUACCCUGUGUCUGUGACGAAAUCAUAAAGGGAUUUAACGGUAAAAUUUUGAUUGGCGGUCCAUCGCCACUUUAGUUUAUCAUUUGUGCCCGAUGGACUAUACUGAUUGAGGAGGUUUUUGAGCCGAGCGACGUGAUAUGUUGACGAUUCUGAGAGGUGGUAUUUGUAGUGAGGCCUCUGGUUAUGAAACGCCAUCUCCACCCUCUUACAUUCCAGCAUUGUGAAACUGUGGCCUCCUGAUUGAUGAUUCUACAAAAUAAUCCUGGAAACUGGGUACUAAGAGGGGUUUCUUCGAUCCAAAUAUCCGACCACCACCUGAUGUUUUUGCCGCCUCCAAGUGCGUACGAGACUCUGCAUUUGAACAUGUCACGACAGCUCAUCACACUUCUCCACCACUGCGAGUAAGGUCUAAAGGAUCUUCUCUCAUGUAACGGCCUUCUUCUGGUGUAAUAUAAUGCUGUGAUCAAUCUUCCCCAUAAAAGAUGUCUCUCAUUGAAAAAACGCCACCACCAUUUAGUUAGGAGUGCCUUAUUCAUUGCUUCCAUAUCUUUAAUCCCCAGACUCCCUUCUCUUUUGCUUUUACAUAUUGUUUUCCAACCAACUAGGCAUGAACCACCUGAAAUUUUAGAGCCCCCUUUUCAAAAGAAGGCUCGUCUAAGGGAUUCUAUGCGGUUCAGGACCCAUUGCAGCGCUUUGAAAAUAGCGAAGUAGAACAGCAGGAGAUUCGAAAGUACCGAGUUGACUAGGAUAAUUCUUCCUCCAUGUGAAAGUAGUUUUGCCUUCUAUCCUUCAAUGCGCAUCUCUAUACUGUUAAUGAUCGGAGCCCAAUCUUCUUUACGGAGGUGUUUGAUAUGUAGCAGUAAGCCUAAGUAGCGAAACGGUAGAUUACCUACUCUACAUCCCAAAAUAUCUUAAGGCCAGAGGACCAUUCAAACAUCUUCCAGAGAAACAGUAGGUUACGCAUGGCGGACUUUUUGGGCUCGGAGAAGAAUAAUGUAUCAUCCUCAUAUUGAAGGAUCGCAGUUUGACAAUCGACGGUUGGUCCAAUUCCCUGAAUCAAGUUAUUUCCCCUAGCUGCUUCCGUGAUCCUAGCCAAACAGUCGGCGACCAAUAAGAAUAGAUAGGGGGAGAGCAGGUCCCCUUGUCUCAGCCCCUUCCUUGUUUUCAUCCACCUUGUUGGUUCACCAUUUACUAAAAUAGCGAUUUUAGCAUUGCAGAUACACUGUUCAAUCCAGUUCCACCAUUUCUUGCUGAACCCAAGCCACCGUAGUAUGCUUUGCAGGAAGCUCCAUCUCACAUUGUCGUAAGCUUUCUCAAAAUCCACCUUAAUGCUGGCACACUUAUUCUUGGAUUUUGCACACCAGUUGAGUAAUUUGCUUGCUAUGACGAAAUAGUCAGCUAAUACUCGAUCCUUCAGGAAAGCCGAUUGUGACGAAGAGAUAAUCGUUGGCAAAAUGGUUGCGAUUCUAUUUGCGAGUACUUUAGAAAUGAUCUUUCGAAUUCCGUUCAUUAGGCAAAUCGGUCGAAAGUCGUUAGCCUGGCAUGCUCCUUCCUUUUUGGGAAUUAAUUAAACAGACGUAAGAGUAGUCUGUUGGGGCCGUGAAGAGGUUGUUCUCCUGGAGGUCUGUGAAGAUGUUAAAUAUGUUAUCCUUGACCGUCUCCCAAAAAUGUUGCAAAAAAAUAAGCAGGAAGCCAUCGGGACCGGGUGCCUUUUCACUACCCAGUUGAAAGGUAGCCUUUUUAACUUCGUCUAUAGUAAAUGGUCCCGUAAGGGAAUCCGGGUCGGAAAAGGAGUCCGCUCGAUACAGGUCGGCCCAAUCUCCAAAAGAAACAUGCUCUUCUUUCGCUCUCCCAACAAAUGUUUGAAGGAGUAAACAAAAUAGGAUUUCUUCUGAGCUUCAUUGUUGAUUUGUCUUCCAUUAUCAUCUACAAUAUGCUUUAUCUCGUUGCUACACUUCCGACCGUUGGCCACUGCGUGGAAAAAUUUUGUAUUACAAUCGCCUUCUUAAGCCAGUGCUGCUUUCGCUCUCGUUUUCCAUAGGAUUUCUUCCUCCUUUAGAAUGAGCUGGAGUUGAGUUUUAAGGUUGACCCGUUUAUCUCGUACCUCCGGAGGCAGUGUAUUCCGUUCCUCUAAUAGGUCGAUGCCGCAUAUUUCCUCCUAUAUACUCCUUAUCGCGUUGGCAAUGUCGCGUAUUUCCUCCUGUAUCCUCCUUAUCGCGUUGGAUAUACUAUGAAAUUUCGUCUUACACCAUUCUUUCAUCUUGUUUCUGCAGUGCCUCAGUUUAGCCGUUAGAGUGAGGAUUGCUGACCUCUCACUGGUUACUUCGUUCCACCAGAUUGGUACGCUGUUUGAGAAGUCCUCCCUAGAGAGCCAAACUCUCUCGAACCGAAAUUUCCGCGUAGUGUGAAUACCCCCUGAAUUGAGGAUUAGCGGUGUAUGAUCGGAUGUGAUUCUAGGUAGCGCUGAAACCCUGCAGUGAGGGAAAGCUUGGUCCCACUCCGUCGUGAUUAAAAAUCUGUCUAGCUUGGCCAGGGUCGGCGAGUGUUGCAUGUUUGACCAAGUAAAAUAUUGGUUGGAAAUGGGCAGAUCUAUGACUGCGAGAUUCGCGAUGAGAUCGGAGAACAUGGUCAUCGCUCUUGUGCUCCAUGUAUUCCCGAUACGUUCGAGCUAGUUUCUAGUAAAAUUGAAGUCCCCACAAAUAGCCCACUUUGAGUUAGAGCAAAUCGCACUGAGAGAAAG
rnacentral:lncRNA from 1 species